rnacentral:rRNA from 1 species
AUGUCGCCGCUGUCACCCGCACGGCGGCUGUCGGUCCUCUCUCUCCUUCUCCUCCUACUCAUCCUAACCGCGGCGUCAUCUGCGGCGGCGGAGGAGGAGGAGUUCACGGAGGAGCUGCUCCUGCGGCCGCUCCCCGACCGCAAGGCGCUGGCCCACUUCCACUUCCGCUCCUCCAAGCCUCCCACCGCCGCCUCCGGCCGCCACCACCACCUCUUUCCGAAGGCCAUCUCCCAGCUGGUACAAAAAUUGCAUAUUAGUGAAUUGGAACUAUCUUUCACACAGGGAAGAUGGAACUAUGAGACAUGGGGUGGAUUUGAUCCACUGUCAACAGAUAAUGCAAAACCUCCUGGUGUUGAGCUAUGGGCAACUUUCAACCUCCCUUUUGCCGAUAUUGAUGCCACAUGGAAGAACCUGACGCACACAUUGUCAGGCAUGUUUUGUGCAUCAAUCAAUUUCUUGGAGUCUUCCACUGCCUUCUCUGCUCCUCGCUGGGGAUUUAAAUUGAAUGAAGGCAAACUCCGAUAUGGCGCAUUGCCUCGUGAAGCUGUUUGCACUGAGAAUCUCACGCCCUGGCUGAAACUUCUUCCAUGCCGUGACAAAGCUGGCAUCGCCUCUUUGUUUACGCAGCUACAUUCUACUGAUGGAAAGCUUCAGCCCAGUUGGUCCAUGGAACAUUUGUUCAACAGGAAAUUGUUGGGGAAAUGUCUUGUUUCUAAAUCCAGCAGGAUAUUUGUAGAAAUCGAGAAAGGUAUACUUGUCAAAUCUGGACCAGAAGUUUCUUGGAGUAAUAAAUUCUUUGAACUUUCCACUGCCCCAGACAGGGUGCUCAAAGAAUGGGAUCACUUGGAAGUUCAAUCAUCUUCAUUGUAUGAAUAUGAUCUUAGUAACUACAAUGAUGAUAAGCCUUUGGAUGUGGGCAUAACUUGGAAGCUUCCCCUCGUAUGGUCUUGCUUCCCUGCACCAUAUAAUGCAAGAAGAUUUCUUAUGGGUAGCGGAAACGAAAGAGGGUCUAUUGCUCUGUCAUUUUUAUCCACUGAUCUACAUAAGCAAUUGCCUGGCAGCUCAAAUGAUUGUUCGAUAAAGGCUGUAGUUCUCCAGAUGUUUCCAUGGUAUGUUAAGGUCUUCUAUCACAGCUUACAGAUUUUCAUUGAUGGGAGCAGCAAGGCUGUAACAGAAGUACUUGACAUGAUCCAUGUCACUCCUUCAGAAGACAAACUUUCGCCUGGAACUCUGGAGAUGCUGCUAAGAUUUCCUUGCAGCAUGCAAUCAGCUACCUUGAUAUUGGACUUUGACAAGGGGUUCCUACACAUAGACGAAUAUCCUCCUGACGCUAAUCAAGGAUUUGAUAUUCCAUCAGCUUUGGUUAGCUUUCCUGACUUUAAUUCUAGCCGAAGAUACCCUGAAAUUGACCCAAUGUUUGUGUCACCUUUGUUAGAAAAUUUUAAGGAAGAUAAUGUUGUGAAAUCCUACACAGAUGUGCUGCUUGUUCCCUUGACAACUCCUGAUUUCAGCAUGCCGUAUAAUGUUAUCACCUUCACUUGCACUGUCUUAGCUCUUUAUAUCGGCUCACUACUUAAUGCUUUGAGACGAAGAAUUGGUGAGGAAGAGUGCAGAUUGAGAAAAGCAGCCGUGAAGCCUGCACUCAUUCCUCUGUUGCUAGCUAGGCUAAGGGGUCACAAGGUCGACCCAUCAGAGUCAGAAUCCUCUCCUGCAUCUCCAGUAGGGUUAAAGCUACUAGUCAAGGUUGCACUUGUUGCGGCAGUAGCUGUUGUGUUUCACUAUCUGUCAAACAGUUGA